rnacentral:rRNA from 1 species
AUUGAACGCUGGCGGCAGGCCUAACACAUGCAAGUCGAACGAGUGGCGGACGGGUGAGUAAUGUAUGGGAAACUGCCCGAUGGAGGGGGAUAACUACUGGAAACAGUAGCUAAUACCGCAUACCAUCGGAUGUGCACAGAUGGGUUUGGCUAGUAGGUGGGGUAACGGCUCACCUAUGCGACGAUCCCUAGCUGGGCUGAGAGGAUGACCAGCCACACUGGAGCUGAAACACGGUCCAGACUCUGACGGGUGGCAGCAGUGGUGAAUAUUGCACAAUGGGCGCAAGCCUGAUGCAGCCAUGCCGCGUUUAUGAAGAAGGCCUUCGGGUUGUAAACCGCUUUCAGCCAUGACGCGGUAGUGGCAGAAGAAGCACCGGCUAACUACGUGCCAGCAGCCGCGGUAAUUC